GGUGGCUCAGUGCUAGAGUGCUUGCCUUGCACGCAGGAGGCCCUGGGUUCGAUUCCUCAGCACCA
rnacentral:tRNA from 1 species